CACUUCAGCCUGGGCAACAGAGCAAGACUCCAUCUCAAAAAAAAAAAAAAAAAGAUCUGAGAUCCCUUGGUUUCUCUCAUGUUGAUCUGAGAUGCCACAUCAGGGCCCUUUCUGCUGUAUUAUCUCUGCCUGGGUGUUUAAGUCUCAACUUAAGUGUGUGGGUGUUUCCUAGAAACGUAUCCCUUGGGGCUCAGUGAUACUCUGGGAACCCUUGGGGUUUGGGGAAGGACUGUGGUAUGACUAUUGUCUUGACACGCUGUGGUUGUGGUUGGAGUCAUCCACGUGGACACGGUUUUCAGCUUGGAGCUGGGAUGGAGAAGGUGGAACUGCUGGGGGCCGGGCCUCCUUUUUCAGUGAGGCCAGUCCUGGUUUCUCCUCUGUUCCAGCUGCUCUGCCAGAAGCCCUCCCCUGCAAAGUGCCCACCUGCCUGGAGACAGAGGGAGCAACUGAGGCCUCUCUCCACCAGCCGGCAGCCUCCCCAGCACAGAGGACCAUUCAGCAAUGAGUGUUACUUAUGUUCUUUCUUGUUGAUGAGUUCUGCAGCCCAGCCUAUAGCAAUGGCUCAGAACCUUCCAGGUCUUGGUGAGAUAGGGCAGUGUCCAAUGCUCACAGGCUGUCCCUACUCUGCCUCUUGCCAUCUUCCCCUCAGGACCUGUUCAUAAAUUGGGGAACGGACGAGGGCCCUGGAGGGUCCUUGGGAGUAGUUAGUGGAGGGCAGGAUUCCCAGGUCCCCAUAGAGAGGGCAAGAGAAGCCCAGAUGUGCACAGAAGCCCAUCUCUGUCACACACACCCCAGUUGGUCACCGAGUUAUUUUCCAAAAGCUGAGGAACAUAAAUCCAAUUUAGGCUUUUGUCCCUCUUCAAUACGUGCACUUGAAAAUAACUAAACAAGCAGAAAAGAGAUGGUAAAUGACAAGUUUACUUCCUGUCGGCUAGCACCCUCAGCAUGGGAGCUGCUGCCGGAGGCUGGCAUAGCAGGGCAGCUGCUGACCAAACCCCACAGAACAGAGGGCACCAGGCAUCACAUGACAUCUAUCUCUGCCAUCUGUCUGGCAAUGGAAGGAGCUCCAGCAGGAGUCCUGUAGCCCUGAGUCAUCCUCUCCUAUACUAGGGCCUAUUUUAAUUGACCGUAGGGGCCCGGUACGGUGGUUCACACCUGUAAUGCCGGCAUUUGGGGAGGCCAAGGUGGGAGGAUUGCUUGAGCCCAGGAGUUGGAGACCAGCCUGGGUAACAUGGGGAGACCAAUUAACUGUAGGGGUUGUCCCUUGCUAGGACAGGAGCCGAAGACUGGGUGGCUGUGUCCUCAAGGCAGUCCCCUCCAACCCCCAUUCCCAAAGUCUGAAAACAAAACCAGAUCUCAAAGGGCUGAUUCCUGAGGCAAGGAGAGAGAAUGGGGGCGAGGUGGGGGCAAAUGCCUGCACAGGCCAACUGGGUCUUACUGAUCUGUACAAGCUGAUAGAAGGUCCACCUGCUGGAAUCCAGGGCUCCUGAGUUAUUGGGUUUGCCUGUGAAGCUUCUAGGACAAGGCGCAGCCAGAUGGAAGGCAGGGUCUGGGGCUUCCUGAAUGCAGCCACAUCACCUCUCAACUCACUGCAGGUUCGGAGAUUGUGGAAGUUACUCUGUACCUCAAAAGUGCAAAAGCAGAAUUGGCAACUUCACAUGUCUCAAGAGCUUCAAGAUCCUUUGGUCUUGUGUCCUUUGGCAUCCCAUAGCUGUAUGGGGGACAAAUUUGUACAUGUUUCCAAGGCUACAGACAUGGUGCCCUCCUCAUGGGCCUAGCUCAGGUACCUAGAUCAGGUACUUCUCUGGGGAAAUGAAAUGACCCACAUGAUCUGCUUCCUCUACCAUUGGCUUGAACUGGGCACCCCCUGAAGUCUCCAUCUUAGCUGUAUUUUCUGGUCCACAUUUGCCUGGCUCCCCCUGCGUCUGCCUGGGUCCUGCACACUGUCCUUUUGCCAACACCUCUGCCCUGUGUCCUGUUUCAUGUCUGCGUGGUAUGACACCCCUUCAUGGCAUACACAGCCACAGUAUGUACAUAUGUGCCCGUGUAUGUGCGUGUGUGUGUGUGUGUAUAGCAUGUAGCCCAUUCUGCUCGGCCUCUGGCACUGCUCCACAUUACUCCCAGCCCCACUGCUGUCACUGUUGUCCCAGAUGUCCUUGCCGUGGCCACAGACAAUCUGCCAUCUCCUGGAAGUGCUGGGGCUGCCCUUCAGAGCUGGCAGUCGCCAGCAGUCAGGGACUGCUUUGCAGAAUAGAAUGUGAACCCCUCUCCUGAUGGCCUACUUGACUUAUUUAAUUAAAAAUGAAAACAUGCAACGAGCAAGACCUGCA